UAAGUCAAUAAUUUACCCACCUGCCUAUUAUUUUAGCCAAUCUGUUGAUGUUCAUUGUCUUAGGCUGGACCUUUGACACUUGUCUGACACAGUCUAUAUGUGAAUAGAUGGCUGAGUGUCCUGGCUAGUGAAGAUGGCAUUCCUCGCCCUAAGUUGAACAGUGUUUUCCUCACCUGAAACCACGAAGACACAACAGCAAGAAGAGGGUAUACAUAAUUCAGGACUCCACAGCAGAUGAGAAUUUGCCCACAGUGUGGAGGGCCCUAAUGCCAACAGGACAGUGUUGAGAAGCACAUAUUUUCUUUUGAAUGAAGCAUUUCUACAGAGGGCAUAUAUAUGCUAUACAAAUAAUAAAAUCUUCAAUCAAAUAGCCUAAAAAUUCUACUCAAGUGGCUGCAUUUGUUCAUGAUUUAUGAGAUGUUAGAAACCAAUAGAGCAAGACAACUGAUAGUUUAUGGAUGUUUUUACUCCAAAUUAACAGAGUAGCUUUUGUUUUGCCAGCUACAGCUGUAAUGAGGAGUUCUGUGAUUUAACACUGUAUCAAGAUAAUUUCAAGGCCAGAUCUUGGUCAAGAACACAUGUUUUGCCUAUACAUUGUGAUUGCAUUAGAACCAGGCACCAUUAACCAAAAUUUUACCGAAUAUGAAGAGCAAUAUACUCCAUGCAAAUAAAACAGCCUGUGGAAUGUACAUAGUGAAGGACAGAAGCAAGAUGAUUCUUGAAUUAAAGCAAACUGGAUGUUUACCAGGGAAGCAAACAGAGUAGAUAUACAUUAACAUUAUCUUCUUCUUUUGAUAAUGAUUGUGUUCUUCUCGUAUAAAUAAAAAGCUCUACUUGCAUUAUUUCAUAUUAUAUUCAGUUUAUUGGCCACAUAUAACAAAAUAACAUAGAAAACCCAGGAGAGGGUCAUAUGAGGUGGUUCAGUCUAUAUAUACAUGUCAUUUCUGACAACUCUAAUGAAUGACCACUCAUCCUUGGGCUUGUUGCAAGACAGCCAUGCUAUGUAAAAGCAUCUGUCUUUUUGCAGACAGGAAUAAGAUGAAGGAUUCAAGGUCAAGUUUACUCAAAUAGGUUCUCCUGGGGUCUUUGCCUUUUGUUUCUGGAGUAUUUCCGAAGUUCUGUAAACUAUGUGUUGGUGGAGUAAUUGCAACCCCACCUGUAUGAGAGCUGGCAUGAUUACUCUCUCUCAAUUUUACCACUGAAUGUGGAGAAUGGCUUGAUAUACUCUUGGCUGUAUGCUUCCAGAUGACAGUAUUAAGGUGAAUAUGAAACAUUAUGAAUGGAACCCACAGAGAAAGAUAAAUCAAUAAACUCACAUUUGUAACCCUAAAGGUAAAGUUAGAAUCAAUCUAUGCACAGUGCCUGUAGGAGUCUUGAUGGAGGACGUCUCUACAUAUCAUUGAAUCAAAAA
rnacentral:lncRNA from 1 species